UGAUGAAGGCCUUAGGGUUGUAAAGUGAUGAAGGCCUUAGGGUUGUAAAGCUCUUUCACCGAUGAAGAUAAUGACGGUAGUCGGAGAAGAAGCCCCGGCUAACUUCGUGCCANGCAGCCGCGGUAAUACGAAGGGGGCUAGCGUUGUUCGGAAUUACUGGGCGUAAAGCGCACGUAGGCGGAUAUUUAAGUCAGGGGUGAAAUCCCGCAGCUCAACUGCGGAACUGCCUUUGAUACUGGGUAUCUUGAGUAUGGAAGAGGUAAGUGGAAUUCCGAGUGUAGAGGUGAAAUUCGUAGAUAUUCGGAGGAACACCAGUGGCGAAGGCGGCUUACUGGUCCAUUACUGACGCUGAGGUGCGAAAGCGUGGGGAGCAAACAGGCAUUAGAUACCCU
rnacentral:rRNA from 1 species